AUUUUGAAUACAAUUGUUUAACAGAAUCUGAAUGGGAUAAGUAAUGUUGAAUGUCUUAUUAUAAUCCUCAGCUGUCAUAUCUUCUCCGAAGUUUAUUUUUUUUUAAAUACUGUUACUCAUGCAAUUCAUAAUGCUGUAUACACGCACCAAGAACAUCAAAGGGAGUCUUAAGAUCUGGCCGAUCUUUUAAUAAAGAUUCUCCCAUGGCAGAGUAUUAUUGAUUCCCUCAACACUAUUCUUUGUACUAUGAAAGAGAACUUUCCGUUUAGGCUUUUGAUCAAUGAGGGAAUCAGCCAGUCAAUAUUGGUUAGUGGUGAAAGUGGGGCUGGUAAAACAGAAAGCACAAAGUUACUUAUGCGCUACGUUUCUUACAUGGGAGGGAGAGCUAAUGUUUGACAUUUUGGCAGAAAGUCCUGGAGUCCAAUCCUGUUCUAGAAGCCUUUGGAAAUGCAUAGACUGUUAGAAACAAUAAUUCAAGUUUGUGGAGAUUCAAUUUGACCAGAAGGGAAGAAUUUCUGGAGCUGCUAUCAGGACUUACCUGCUGGAAAGAUCACGUGUUUGCCAGUUGUCGGAUCCAGAGAGGAAUUAUCACUGUUUCUAUAUGCUUUGUGCUGCACCUCCAGAGGUUGUUCAGAAGUACAAAUUAGGAAACCCUAGAACCUUUCAUUAUCUAAAUCAAACAAAUUGCUAUGAGUUGGAAGGAUAUGAUGAAUUUAAAGAAUAUUGUGAUACAAGGAGAGCAAUGGAUUUUGUUGGAAUAAGUUCAUAAUGCUGUUCUUAAAGUGUGAUCUGGAAUAAGAUUCUCUUUGCAAGCGUAUAAUUGUUACUCGUGAUGAAACUAUUAUAAAAUGCCUGGAUCCCGAAGCUGCUACACUGAGCCGAGAUGCUUUAGCUAAGGUUGUGUACUCGAGGUUGUUUGACUGGCUGGUUGAUAAAAUUAAUAAUUCAAUUGGUCAUGAUCCUGACUCAAAGUCCUUAACCGGCAUGCUGGAUAUUUAUGGUUUUGAGAGUUUCAAGACUAACCAGUUUUGAGCAGUUCUGUAUUAAUUUGACCAAUGAAAAGCUCCAGCAACAUUUCAAUCAGCAACAAUUACAAGCACUACUUGAAAUUCUUAGUUCCACUGAGCUGAGCCACACUACAUUCGUUGUGUUAGACCCGAUAAUCUUCUCAAGCCAGCAAUUUUUGAGCACAAAAAUGUUUUGCAGCAACUGCGCUGUGGAGGUGUCAUGGAGGCAAUCAGGAUAAGCUGCGCUGGCUAUCCCACCAGAAAAACGUUUGAUGAAUUCGUGGAUCGAUUCGGGCUUCUUGCACCUGAAGCUUUGGAUCGUAGUUCUGAUGAAGUCACUGCUUGCAAGAAGGUUGAUGCUGCAUUAGUUGAUUGCUUCUGUAUUUCCACAGGUUGCAAUUUGUUGUUGUUGUUUUCAUGUCUUUGCCUAAUUAUAUUGCAAUUUGCUUCUGUUUUCAUGUAUAUGCUUAAUUAGAUUAGAUUGGAACCGUGAUAUGCAAGCAAAUCUCACAAGAGACUUGUGAUAAAGGUUGUUUGUAUGAUUGUUUUUAUGACUAAUAGGUUAGUCCAGUGAAAUGUGGAAGAAUUCAAGUUGAUGGUGAUUGGUGAAAUGAUACUGGUUUUAUAAGUAGUUAAAUCAUCUCAAAAGAUAAGCCAUUUUUUAAAUAGGUUUGAAACACUUGAUUCUUUACUUCCAUAAGAUAAGCCAUUUUUUAAAUAGGUUAGAAACACUUGAUUCUUUACUUCUAAUUUUGUGAUAGAAUUUGUAACUGAUGAUGUUAAUGUUUAAGGCAUGAACCACCUAUGAUGGCUUGUGUUUGGGGUCUAAGCUUAAAUAGGAUAUAAGCUUAAAAGAUCUGGACUCGCAUUACUAGAUUCGUGAGAUCUCGCUUCUCAAGUCCAUUGGGAACAAAGAGAUCUUUUCAGGAUAUAAAUAGCAGCAUACAAAGGGUUAUUAUACCUAGCACAAAGUGGGAACAAAUGAAGGUGACAAACCAUCAGCUAUAUAUGUCAUGGUUUCUUCUUGUUUGUCUUAUUCAGGCUAUUUCAUUAAUACCAAUGUCAUGUUUUGCAGCUUAAUCAAUUUAAUUUGGGUAAGAGCUAAGCUAUGUCUCGGUGCUUAUACUUUUGAAAUUUAACAUUUUGGGCUAAACUAUUUUAUAUAAUGUUAUUGAACAUUUGCAAUUCCUUGAUUUGAUCUUUUUUUUUUGUUUUUUUUGUUUAAAUGGCAAUUUCUGUGCCGUAUGAUACCCCUGUAAAUGCAACUAAUCUAAUCUUGAUAUCCUAUUAUUUCAUAUUAUAAUGCAACUGAUAAACAUUAUACUUGCUCUCUCUGUACUCAUGCAAUAAAAUUCAAGGAUUGAACCUAACUGGGAUAUCUUGGAACCUCGCAUUAUAAUCUACAAAUUUGAAGAUAAUGCAAGUCCUUUUAUGUUUGAAGUUCUAUCAGUAUGAUGUGUUCACUUUAUUGUCAUGAAAUGAUUUACUUUCUUUCAGUGAUGUCAGUUCCAACUGCAUAAUGAGUGAAAUAAUGACGGGUUACCUCCCAAUGCAACCCAUAUGUAACCCUGCUGUUCUAAUGAUUUUGUUCCUGCAUGGUCAAAUUCAGUUUAGUCAUGUUCGUACUUCAAGGAACAUUUUAAACAUUGUUUUCUAAUGGAUGAUAUCAACUUAUCCAAUUUCAGAAUGUGAUUUCUCAUGGUCUUGGUGGUGCUAGCCUAGAUGUUGUCCUUUAUGGACGGGUGACUUUUACUUUUUUGUAUCCAUUAUUUUGUUUUAUUUUAAUUUUUAGUGAACUUUGAUAUGAAGUUAUGGAUUAAUUAUUAAAUGUCCCUGUGUGUGAACAGAAAGUCAUCUGCCUUUCAACAGGAAUGGAUUCAAAUUUUUCACAAAUGACAGUGGUCUUGGGAAGCCUGACUUCAAAGAUAUCUUAGAGCGGGUUGCAAACGUAUACAAUCAAUUUACAUAAGUAGAAAGCCUUCCUCUUCAAGGACAGAAGAAAUGCAGGUGCUAUUCCAGACUGACAUGAAGGAUAAAAAGCCGAAACAGAGAGGCUCCAGAACAGGAAAGAAGGCGAAGCAAUCAUUCAAAAGCAAGUCAAGGGACAAUGAUUUGCACAAGUUACUUUUUAUGCCUAAUGGCCUACCAGACGGUGCUGAGUUGGCUUACUAUGUCAAAGGACACGCGUCUUGAUAUUAUCUCUUGAUAUUUUGUGUUUAUGGAUUGAUCUGCACGUUAUUUUUAUUUUUCUUAAAUAUGUGACUUGAAUGAUGUGCUUUUCAGAAACUACUUGGAGGUUACAAACAAGGAAAUGGUAUAGUCUGUGGUUGUUGUGAUGUAGAGAUAAGCCCUUCACAGUUUGAAGCCCAUGCUGGAAUGGCGGCUUGGCGUCAACCUUACUGCCACAUAUAUACUUCCAAUGGAUUUGCAUAGUGGUCACCAUUUGGUAGAAGAUCAGAAAGCUACUGAAACACAGACUGACACACCUGUGAAAAAGUUUGGUACAGAGUCUGAUAGCAAAUCAAGGAGAUCAUACAUUGAACGUCAACAUGCGUGUGCUUAAAAUUUUACAUCUAAUAUUCCAGUUCUUUAUGCUACUAUGUUCAUCUUUUUAACUCUUAUUUCAAAUGUAGGAAAAUGUUGAUUCCCUUAUCAAUUGUGUUAUGAAAAAUAUUGGAUUCCAUCAUGGAAAGCCUAUUGCUGCAUUCACCAUUUACAAAUGUCUUCUCCACUGGAAAUCAUUUGAAGCUGAAAGGACAAGUGUAUUUGAUCGCUUUAUCGAGAUGAUUGGUUCUGCAAUUGAGGUAAAUCUUUUUUAUUUUUUUAUUUAGAGAUAUACAAGUAUAAUACUUUGAACCGUCCCCUAAUAACUUGAGCUUUAAGGAAAAUCAAUCCUAGAUAUAUGAUUCUAAUUUUCAGUGAAAGUCUAUUUAGAUUAUCCAGUUUAUUUUUGCAUGAAGAAGGAUUACAUAAAAAUGAUUGACAUGGCCAGUGGACGUGGUGGGCAAAUGCAAUUAACUUUUCUUUUGCAGGCAAGAUUUUGAGGCUGGGCUCCGAGACAUUAAAACUCGUGUAGCCAAUUAUGAGAAGGCAAGUCUUUCAUAUAUACUUCUAAUGACUGUUCUAGGUGAGCUUUCACUUUAAAUAAUGCUGAUUUUGUAUUCCUAGGUUUAUGAGACGCUAGAAGAAGGAUUACAACUUAAUGAUUUUCAUAAUCUUCUCUCAAUUUUAUUUUCAGUUUCAAUGAAUUUAUAUUUCAAUUUCUAACUUAGGGUGCAAACGUAGUUAUUGUUAUUGAUGUUUGUACUCAACUGAAUUGAUUUGCUUGAGUGUUGAGUAUAUGAUUUGUUAAAGUAUAUAAGUAUGGAUUUCUUUUUCAAUCUCAUUAUGUUGUUGCUGCAUUAGUUGAUUGCUUCUGUAUUUGCACAGGUUGCAAUUUGUUGUUUUCAUGUCUAUACCUUAUUAUAUUGCAAUUUGCUUCUGUUUUCAUGCAUAUGCUUAAUUAGAUUAGAUUGGAACCGUGAUAUGCAAGCAAAUCUAACUUGUAUGAUUGUUUUUAUGACCAAUAGGUUAGUCCAGUGAAAUGUGGAAGGAUUCAAGUUGAUGGUGAUUGGUGAAAUGAUACUGGUUUUAUAAGUAGUUAAAUCAUCUCAAAAGAUAAGCCAUUUUUUAAAUAGGUUUGAAACACGUGAUUCUUUACUUCCAAAAGAUAAGCCAUUUUUUAAAUAGGUUCGAAACACUUGAUUCUUUACUUCUAAUGUUGUGAUAGAAUUUGUAACUGAUGAUGUUAAUGUUUAAGGCAUGAACCACCUAUGAUGGCUUGUGUUUGGGGUCUAACCUUAAAUAGGAUAUAAGCUUAAAAGGUAAUUGUACUAACUCGGUUUCAUGCUCUGCUUGGUUUAAUUAAUAUCACACACUUUUGCAUGAAUUUUUCGUUGCGUCAUACACUAACUGGUUUGAAUCGGUGUUUGAUGUUAGAUCUGGACUCGCAUUACUAGAUUCGUGAGAUCUCGCUUCUCAAGUCCAUUGGGGACAAAGGGAUCUUUUCAGGAUAUAAAUAGCAGCAAACAGAGGGUUAUUAAUAUUAUACCUAGCACAAAGUGGGAACAAAUGAAGGUGACAAACCAUCAGCUAUAUAUGUCAUGGUUUCUUCUUUUCUGUCUUAUUCACGCUAUUUCAUUAAUACCAAUGUCAUGUUUUGCAGCUUAAUCAAUUUAAUUUGGGGAAGAGCUAAGCUAUGUCUCGGUGCUUAUACUUUUCAAAUAUAACAUUUUGGGCUAAACUAUUUUAUAUAAUGUUAUUGAACAUUUGCAAUUCCAUAAACGGACUCUAUUGGUAAAAUAAAUAGCUUCGGGAUAGAGCAGACACUAGAAACAGCGUCCGCCAAACGGACUCUUAUGGCAACAACCAAGUGUCUGCCGUAUACCUGUGAUUGUAGCGUCAACAUAGUGUCUCCUCUGACGGACGUCAAAUUGCGUCUGCUGGACGCAACUGUCUAGUUUCAGGCAUUUAAGUGUCUGUCACGACAUAAACGCUAAGCAGAUGCUAAAUUCCUUGUAGCGUCCCCUUUUUGCCCUUUAGCUUCUCAUUUGGUCCGACGCUACAAAGCAGUUUUGUUGUAGUAAUUCAUUGCUAAUAUGUAUUCCAUCUCUUGAUCUUUAUAUCUUAGUCACCUGGUCAAAACUAAAUCAAAUGGCACUAUUAUCAUUUUGAUCUUUAUAUUGUUUACUAAUUUUGAGUCAAGGAUGCAGCUGCUGAAGAUCAUAACCUAAAAUGAAUUUCUACCUUUAUGGCAGGUUUGUGGUCUGGUGUUGUUGGUCACUUGGAAUCAUGUAAUGGAAAUUAAAAUUCUAGCCGCUGUCAUAUGAGUGGCAUGUUAAUAAAGUAAUUUGCCUAGGAAUUUUGAUGAUAGAGUGAACAUUAUUAUUGUAUGCUGAGUUUAAAUUUUCAAUUGAUUUCAAUUUUGAAUUUCAACAUUUUCUUAUUGUGUUGUUUUUGAACAGGUUGCUCGAGAAUUAGAUAUGAUGUGGAAGAGAAAAAUGACAUAAUUUUUAUUGGCUAUGCCUCUCAUAUGGUUAAAUGUUCCAUUGAAGACCCUUAAGUCUAAAUCCUAUUGGCUACAUAGUUUCAAUUAUAUGUUGCCUCGAUAGGCUUUAAUUAAAUGUUUCUUUGAUGACCCAUAAGUCUAAUUCUUAUUGGCUAUACAUGAUGACCCUUAUUAGAUGUUACCUCUAUGACCUUUAAGUUCAAUUCUUAUUGGUUAUAUAAAUUCGGUUAAUGUUGUCUCGA